rnacentral:rRNA from 1 species
AGAACGUCGUGAGACAGUUCGGUCCCUAUCUUUCGUGGGCGCAGGAUAUUUGAGAGGAUCUUUCCCUAGUACGAGAGGACCGGGAUGGACGAACCUCUGGUGUUCCAGUUGUCGCGCCAGCGGCAUAGCUGGGUAGCUACGUUCGGAAUGGAUAACCGCUGAAAGCAUCUAAGUGGGAAGCCAACCUCAAGAUAAGAUAUCCCUUUCCCGUGGAAACACGGGAGCUGAAGACCCCUUGUAGACUACAAGGUUGAUAGGCCAGGUGUGUAAGUGUAGUAAUACAUUUAGCUAACUGGUACUAAUAGGUCGUGAGGCUUGGCCAU